AGAGUUUGAUCCUGGCUCAGGAUGAACGCUGGCGGCGUGCUUAACACAUGCAAGUCGAACGAAGCACUUUAUCACGAUUUCUUCGGAAUGACGAUUUGGUGACUGAGUGGCGGACGGGUGAGUAACGCGUGGGUAACCUGCCUUAUACAGGGGGAUAACAGUUGGAAACGGCUGCUAAUACCGCAUAAGCGCACAGGGUCGCAUGACCUGGUGUGAAAAACUCCGGUGGUAUGAGAUGGACCCGCGUUGGAUUAGCUGGUUGGUGAGGUAACGGCCCACCAAGGCGACGAUCCAUAGCCGACCUGAGAGGGUGACCGGCCACAUUGGGACUGAGACACGGCCCAAACUCCUACGGGAGGCAGCAGUGGGGAAUAUUGCACAAUGGGCGAAAGCCUGAUGCAGCGACGCCGCGUGAGCGAAGAAGUAUUUCGGUAUGUAAAGCUCUAUCAGCAGGGAAGAUAAUGACGGUACCUGACUAAGAAGCACCGGCUAAAUACGUGCCAGCAGCCGCGGUAAUACGUAUGGUGCAAGCGUUAUCCGGAUUUACUGGGUGUAAAGGGAGCGCAGGCGGUACGGCAAGUCUGAUGUGAAAGCCCGGGGCUCGACCCCGGUACUGCAUUGGAAACUGUCGAACUAGAGUGUCGGAGGGGUAAGUGGAAUUCCUAGUGUAGCGGUGAAAUGCGUAGGUAUUAGGAGGAACACCAGUGGCGAAGGCGGCUUACUGGACGAUAACUGACGCUGAGGCUCGAAAGCGUGGGGAGCAAACAGGAUUAGAUACCCUGGUAGUCCACGCCGUAAACGAUGAAUAUCUAGGUGUCGGGGAGCAAAGCUCUUCGGUGCCGUCGC
rnacentral:rRNA from 1 species